GAGCGGCCCGCGGAGUAUCAGCUAGUUGGUAAGGUAAUGGCUUACCAAGGCUAUGACGCUUAGGAGAGCUGAGAGGCUCUACUCCACCGAUGGAACUGAGACACGGUCCAUACACCUACGGGUGGCUGCAGUCGAGAAUCUUCCGCAAUGGGCGAAAGCCUGACGGAGCGACGCCGCGUGACUGAUGAAGUCCUUAGGGACGUAAAGGUCUUUUGUGGGGGAGAAAUUUAGAUGAUAGUACCCCAAGAAUAAGAGGCUCCAAACUCUGUGCCAGCAGGAGCGGUAAUACAGAGGCCUCAAGCGUUAUCCGGAAUCACUGGGCGUAAAGGGUGUGUAGGUGGUUGUGUUAGUCGAUUGUUAAAUCCCGCGGCCUAACCGCGGAAAUGCAAUCGAAACGGCACGACUCGAGGGUGCGAGGGGUCUGUGGAACUCAUGGAGUAGGGGUGAAAUCCGUUGAUAUCAUGGGGAACACCAAAAGCGAAGGCAGCAGACUGGCGCAUUCCUGACACUGAAACACGAAAGCGUAGGUAGCGAAUGGGAUUAGAU
rnacentral:rRNA from 1 species